UACAGAGGUCCCGAGCGUUGUUCGGAUUCAUUGGGCGUAAAGGGUGCGUAGGCGGUCUGCUAAGUUUGGUGUGAAAUCCCGGGGCUCAACCCUGGAAUUGCAUUGAAUACUGGUGGACUAGAGUACUGGAGAGGAAACUGGAAUUUACGGUGUAGCAGUGAAAUGCGUAGAGAUCGUAAGGAAGACCAGUGGCGAAGGCGGUUCUCUGGGCCUGUACUGACGCUGAGGAGCGAAAGCGUGGGGAGCGAACAGG
rnacentral:rRNA from 1 species